rnacentral:rRNA from 1 species
GAUGAACGCUGGCGGCGUGCCUAAUACAUGCAAGUCGAGCGAACAGACGAUGAGCUUGCUCCUCUGACGUUAGCGGCGGACGGGUGUGUAACACGUGUAUCACCUACUUAUAAUACUGGGAUAUCUUCGGGAAACCGGAGCUAAUACCGGAUAAUAUCUUGAACCGUAUGGUUCAAUAGUGAAAUUCGGCUUUGCUGUCACUUCUCGCUGCAUCCGGGCCGCAUUAGCUAGUUGGUACGGUAACGGCUUACCAAGGCAACGAUGCGUAGCCGAGGUGACAGGGUGGUCGGCGACACUGGAAGUGAGACAGGGUCCAUGCGCCUAAGAGAGGCAGCAGUAGGGAACGUUACGCAAUGGGCGAAAGCCUGACGGAGCGACGCCGAGUGAGUGAUGAAGGUGUUCGGAUCGUAAAACUCUGUUAUUAGGGAAGAACAAAUGUGGAAGGAGCUAUACACGGCGUGACGGUACCGAAUAAGAAAGCACCGGCUAACUACGUG